rnacentral:rRNA from 1 species
UACGUAGGGGGCAAGCGUUGUCCGGAUUUAUUGGGCGUAAAGAGCGUGUAGGCGGCCAAGCAGGUCCGCUGUGAAAACUCGAGGCUCAACCUCGAGACGUCGGUGGAAACCGUUUGGCUAGAGUCCGGAAGAGGAGAGUGGAAUUCCCGGUGUAGCGGUGAAAUGCGCAGAUAUCGGGAAGAACACCCGUGGCGAAGGCGGCUCUCUGGGACGGUACUGACGCUGAGACACGAAGGUCAGGGGAGCAAACGGGG